GGAUGACCAAAUAGCGUUUUAUUAAACAACAGCAGGUGCUUUAUACCUUUCGGCCACACGGAAGUACCUGUUCUGACCCAAUCAGAAGGGCAGGUUAACAAUUUUUACCUUUUAUGGUAUUGUCCAGCCUAGCCCCACAAUUCCCCUCUUCAUGCUAUGGGGCUUGUGAGAGUACCUAGGGAGGGGCUCUCUCUUUCCGUACAUCGCGAUAUCUUCCGGCCGCCAUACCUUAACUACCUACAUAUCCCCCCUCCCUAUGCACCAAUAAGGUGAUUAAGAUAAAACAAUCCUAAAAAUACGUGUCAUAAAACUUGUGUGCAAACCUAGCAAAUGUGUGCUGUUUCUACAUUAUUUCUUAUAAAAAUUCUAAAAAUAUACAUUAUAAGUUUAGAUAGAAAAUAUAAGGCACGCCAAACAGGAUAACUGGAGAACAACUGAGAGUAAUGGUGUAUAACUAGGGAUAGCUAAAGGGAGUUUUAAACGAAAACAGUCUUAGAGCAAUCGCUAAAAUGCCAUUAAUCUAAUGCUAACACUCUCUAAUUGACUCUUAACAAAUGAAACGAGCUUGACAGGGUCCCAAAAUCACUGCUAUUACAAUCAUUGUGAUUGGUCCCAUUAGGUAGAUAUCAGGGUGGUCAGCCAUGGUGAAUGGUUGAACCAUGACGUAAACCAACUUUGCUGUGCCUCUCGUUCCCUCCUUCGUUUUUUCCAGACCUUUCUGCAAUUUGGUCAUAGUGUCUUUUACUAUUCUGGUGUGGUCUGCAUAUACACAACACCCUUCCUCUAGUGCAGCGCACACUCCCCCUUGCUGUAGAAGCAUCAGGUCUGAUCCUCUUCCUUGUCAUCUUCAUUCGUCACUGAGAUGUACCGGUUGCGAGCGUGUCCGACAAUCCAGUCCUGCGGACAAGAACUCACAAUUUCCAUUAGUUUUAUUCUGAUCCUCCUUUAAUUCCGCCUUAAUACAUCUGCUAGGUACCCAUCUCAGCAAUCCCUCCUUUUCUACUGCUGCAUACCCUCUUCCAAUUGGUAUGCAGCGGUAGAAAAGGAGGGAUUGCUGAGAUGGGUGCCUAGCAGGUGUAUUAAGGUGGAAUUAAAGGAGACAGAUAACUGAUAAUCAUGCAAUCAGAAUAAAACUAAUGAAAACUGUGAGUUCUUGUCCACAGGACUGGAUUGUCGGACGCCCUCGCAACCCGUACGUCCCAGUGACAAAUGAAGAUGACAAGUUGACAAGCAUCCUUGUGCGCUGCACUAGGGGAAGAGUGUUGUGUAUAUGCAGACCACACCAGAAUAGUAAGAGAUACUAUGGCCAAAUUGCGGGAAGGUUUGGAAAAACGAAAGAGGGAACGAGAGGCACAGCAAGGUUGGUUUACGUCAUGGUUUAACCAUUCACCAUGGCUGACCACCCUGAUAUCUACCUAAUGGGACCAAUCACAAUGAUUGUAAUAGCAGUGAUUUUGGGACCCUGUCAAGCUCGUUUCAUUUGUUAAGAGUCAAUUAGAGAGUGUUAGCAUUAGAUUAAUGGCAUUUUAGCGAUUGCUCUAAGACUGUUUUCGUUUAAAACUCCCUUUAGCUAUCCCUAGUUAUACACCACUACUCUCAGUUGUUCUCCAGUUAUCCUGUUUGGUGUGCCUUAUAUUUUCUAUCUAACUUAUAAUGUAUAUUUUUAGAAUUUUUAUAAGAAAUAAUGUAGAAACAGCACACAUUUGCUAGGUUUGCACACAAGUUUUAUGACACGUAUUUUUAGGAUUGUUUUAUCUUAAUCACCUUAUUGGUGCAUAGGGAGGGGGGAUAUGUAGGUAGUUAAGGUAUGGCGGCCGGAAGAUAUCGCGAUGUACGGAAAGAGAGAGCCCCUCCCUAGGUACUCUCACAAGCCCCAUAGCAUGGAGAGGGGAAUUGUGGGGCUAGGCUGGACAAUACCAUAAAAGGUAAAAUUUGUUAACCUGCCCUUCUGAUUGGGUCAGAACAGGUACUUCCGUGUGGCCGAAAGGUAUAAAGCACCUGCUGUUGUUUAAUAAAACGCUAUUUGGUCAUCCUC
ensembl:lncRNA